rnacentral:rRNA from 1 species
AGAACGAACGCUGGCGGCAGGCCUAAAACAUGCAAGUUGAACGGCUGUAGCAAUACAGCAGUAGCGCACGGGUGAGUAAUAUAUGGGAACAUGUCUUUUUGGUGGGGAAUAUUCUCUGGAAACGGAGAGCAAUACCGCAUAAGCCCUACGGGGGAAAGAUUUAUCGCCGAUAGAGUGGCCCAUAUUGGAUUAGCUAGUUGGUUGGGUAACGGCUGACCAAGGCGACGAUCCAUAGCUGAUCUGAGAGGAUGAUCAGCCACACUGGGACUGAGACACGGCCCAGACUCCUACGGGAGGCAGCAGUUAGGAAUAUUGGACAAUGGGGGCAACCCUGAAUCCAGCCAUGCCGCGUGAGUGUUAAGGCCUUCGGGUUGUAAAGCUCUUUUGUAUGGGAAAAUGAUGAUGGUACCAUAAGAAUAAGCACCGGCUAACUUCGUGCCAGCCGCCGC